GACGAACGCUGGCGGCGUGCUUAACACAUGCAAGUCGAGCGGAAGGGCCCGGCGUUUGUGGGGUGCUCGAGUGGCGAACGGGGGAGUAACACGUGAGUAACCUGCCCUUAACUUUGUGAUAACUUCAGGAAACUGGGGCUAAUACCGGAUAGGAGCUCCUGCUGCAUGGUGGUGGUUGGAAAGUUUCGGCGGUGUGGGAUGUACUCGCGGCUUAUCAGCUUGUUUGUGUGGUAGUGGCUUACCAAGGCUUUGACGGGUAGCCUGCCUGAGAGGGUGACCGGCGACCUUGGGCCUGAGAGACGGCCCAGACUCGUACGGGACGCAGCAGUGGGGAACAUUGCACAAUGGGCGGAAGUCUGAUGCAGAAAUGCUGCGUGCGGGAUGCCGGGUUACGGGUUGUAAACAGAUUUCGAAUGUGCCGAAGAGUGCGUGACGGUACUGGGUAAAGAAGCCACGGCUAACUACGUG
rnacentral:rRNA from 1 species